rnacentral:rRNA from 1 species
CGAGGCAGCAGUGGGGAAUAUUGGCAAUGGGCGCAAGCCUGAUCCAGCCAUACCGCGUGGGUGAAGAAGGCCUUCGGGUUGUAAAGCCCUUUUGUUGGGAAAGAAAAGCAUUCGGUUAAUACCCGGGUGUUCUGACGGUACCCAAAGAAUAAGCACCGGCUAACUUCGUGCCAGCAGCCGCGGUAAUACGAAGGGUGCAAGCGUUACUCGGAAUUACUGGGCGUAAAGCGUGCGUAGGUGGUGGUUUAAGUCCGNUGUGAAAGCCCUGGGCUCAACCUGGGAAUUGCAUUGGAUACUGGAUCACUAGAGUGUGGUAGAGGAUAGUGGAAUUUCCGGUGUAGCAGUGAAAUGCGUAGAGAUCGGAAGGAACAUCUGUGGCGAAGGCGACUAUCUGGGCCAACACUGACACUGAGGCACGAAAGCGUGGGGAGCAAACAGGAUUAGAUACCC